GAGAGGAAGGUCCCCCACAUUGGAACUGAGACACGGUCCAAACUCCUACGGGAGGCAGCAGUGAGGAAUAUUGGUCAAUGGACGAGAGUCUGAACCAGCCAAGUAGCGUGAAGGAUGACUGCCCUAUGGGUUGUAAACUUCUUUUAUAUGGGAAUAAAACGUUCCACGUGUGGGAUUUUGUAUGUACCAUAUGAAUAAGGAUCGGCUAACUCCGUGCCAGCAGCCGCGGUAAUACGGAGGAUCCGAGCGUUAUCCGGAUUUAUUGGGUUUAAAGGGAGCGUAGGUGGAUUGUUAAGUCAGUUGUGAAAGUUUGCGGCUCAACCGUAAAAUUGCAGUUGAAACUGGCAGUCUUGAGUACAGUAGAGGUGGGCGGAAUUCGUGGUGUAGCGGUGAAAUGCUUAGAUAUCACGAAGAACUCCGAUUGCGAAGGCAGCUCACUGGACUGCAACUGACACUGAGGCUCGAAAGUGUGGGUAUCAAACAGGAUUAGAUACCCUGGUAGUCCACACAGUAAACGAUGAAUACUCGCUGUUUGCGAUAUACAGCAAGCGGC
rnacentral:rRNA from 1 species